GACAGAGGUGCCAAGCGUUAGGCGGAAUCACUGGGCUUAAAGCGUGUGUAGGCGGAUCGUUAAGUACCUUGUGAAAUCCCACGGCUCAACCGUGGAACUGCUGGGUAUACUGGCGAUCUUGAGCCACCUAGGGGCGAGCGGAACAAGCGGUGGAGCGGUGAAAUGCGUAGAUAUCAUUUGGAACGCCAAUGGUGAAAACAGGUAGCUGGGAGUGUGCUGACGCUGAGACACGAAAGCCAGGGGAGCGAACGGG
rnacentral:rRNA from 1 species